UGCGCAGGGGCUAAGAACCGGAGAGUCCAAGGAUCGCGGAACCCCGGGAAGAGUGGGCCACCCCGUUCGCGCCUGCGCAGCCCUGAGAAACGAGGGGAGUUGGUCAGAACCUCAGCCUGGGGAGGGACCUCAGCCCAACUCCACCUGGUGACACAGAAGUCCCUUGGCACAUGUCAGGACGAAUUCACUUCAGAUGCCAAAUGCAGAAUAAAGGAGCAAAGCUGAUGAGCCUGGACCACUGCACCAGCCCAGGGAAGAUUUGGGGAAGCAGCCAGAGGCAUGUCGUAGGGCCACUAGAGUCUGGGCUGCUAUCUCAGUUCUGCCGCCAUGAGCUGUGUGAUAUGUUGUGUUUUGUGAUAGCAGUGGAAAGCUGGUAUGGCAAGGUAAAGAUGAACGUGGAUUCGUGUCCCUGGAGUUCCUCUUUCAGAUCAGGAGAGAGAAUCUGUCCCCUGUGCUUUGUGCUCUGAGGACGUCCCCUGGCUAAGCACACAGGAGUCGCACUGCUGAAUGGGUGGUUCUUGCUCGUGGCCUGCACUUGAGGCUCUGGGACCUCGGCAUGUGAAUCUGUGCGAGUGAGCAGAGGCCAGGCCCAAAGCUGUGGAGCCACCGCCUGGAUGGAGCUGGUUUCUCUGCCCCUCUUUCUCCUCGCGAUUCUGAAUUCCCCGGGAGCUGGGAGCAGAGGGGAAGACCCUCAGAGCCGGGGAGAUGCUGGUUCAAAUCCCA